CUCAUAUGACAUCACAUGAGGAGCAAAAACUGUACCCAUGCCAAACCUGUUGAUUAUACAGAUUGUAUUUUCUAAGUGCAAUGAUCUCAGAAUAUCAUGCUUUGUAAAUUUCCAUUCAAAUCAUAGUCUUAGAUAAUGGUUUCUUAGUAACUUCCACUGUUUGGAAGACAGCGCAACCUUCACUUUUCUCUUUAAGUCUCUGAAAUGUCUUAAUGUAAGACCUUGAAGUAGAUGCAGAAUACUGGUAGGCCGACGCUGGAGAUGAGAAGCAGGUACAGGGAGUGAACAUUUAAUAAACAACAGCCAUGAAACAGAACAGAAAAAGUGUCUGGACAAGGGAGAAAUAACGACAUCAAUGCUGACACAGGGAACAAACUGAGGAGCAGACAAAUAUAGAGGGGAUAAUCAACAAAGUAAUGGAGUCCAGGUGAGUCCAAUAUUGCGAGCCGGCUGAGGUGUGGGAGCCUGACGACCCGACUGAGGCAUGAAAGCCUGACGAUCCUGCUGAGGCGUGGGAACCUGACGAACCGGCUCAGGCGUGGGAGCCUGAUGGGCUGGUUGAAGCAUGACGUGGAGUGGGCGCUUGCCGAGCCCACCGAGGCAAGACGACCUCUUGAGCCAGCUAAGGCGUGGAAGCCCGACGAGCUAGCUGAGGCACCCCCGGUUCCAUCGGCGAUGGCAUCAGGACGUCACCAACCAAAACAAAACCAAAAAACUCCCCGAUGCUUCCUUUAGUGGUGUCAGCAUUCUGUGGAGGUUUGACGCUGGAGAUGAGAAGCAGGUACAGGGAGUGAACAUUUAAAAAACAACAGACAUGAAACAGAACAGGAACAGUGUCAGGACAGGGGAAAAAUAACGACAUCAAUGCUGACACAGGGAACAAACUGAGGAGCAGUUUGAAGGGCAAUCUGGCACCCUCGAGCGCCAGAGAGGGAGAGCGGGAGCAGGCGUGACAAAUAUAGAAGGGCUACGCUUCUGCAUUGAAGAAGAUAGAAGAUCAAGAAAGUGGGGAAAAGUGAAAGAAGGGAAACAAAGGGCAAGACAGACACAGAGAGUAAAAUGCAGUAGAAGAGUAAGAAAGAGGGAAAGAGUGAGACAGAGAGGGAGAGAUAGAGAAGGGUCUUUUGGGGUGCAGUGGGGUGUGAGACAGGCCCAUUGAGCCAAAUCUAAGCACGGUGUCAGACUGUGCAUCAGCGCUCUCACCCGGGCAGCAGCAACACUGUCUACAGACACAAAGUUAACCAGUCAACUCCAUUACAGUGCAGGGGGCGUGUACAGACCUGCCACACCAAAGAGACUACGCCGGCCAG
rnacentral:lncRNA from 1 species